UCGGGAAUUUUGCGCAAUGGGCGCAAGCCUGACGACGCAACGCCGCGUGGAGGAUGAAGACCUUCGGGUCGUAAACUCCUUUCGACCGAGAUGAAGACCUCUCGACCUAACACGUUGAGAGAUUGACAGUAUCGAGGGAAGAAGCCCCGGCUAACUCCGUGCCAGCAGCCGCGGUAAUACGGGGGGGACAAGCGUUGUUCGGAAUUACUGGGCGUAAAGGGUUUGUAGGUGGCCAACUAAGUCAGACGUGAAAUCCCUCAGCUUAACUGGGGAACUGCGUCUGAUACUGGUUGGCUUGAGUGCAGGAGAGGAACGCGGAAUUCCAGGUGUAGCGGUGAAAUGCGUAGAUAUCUGGAGGAACACCGGUGGCGAAGGCGGCGUUCUGGACUGCAACUGACACUGAUAAACGAAAGCCAGGGUAGCAAACGG
rnacentral:rRNA from 1 species